AACGAACGCUGGCGGCAUGCCUAACACAUGCAAGUCGAACGAUACCUUCGGGUCUAGUGGCGCACGGUUGCGUAACGCGUGGUAACCUGCCCUUAGGUUCGGAAUAACUCCCCGAAAGGGGUGCUAAUACCGGAUAAUGUCUUCGGACCAAAGAUUUAUCGCCUUUGGAUGGGCCCGCGUUGGCUUAGCUAGUUGGUAGGGUAAAAGCCUACCAAGGCGACGAUCCAUAGCUGGUCUGAGAGGAUGAUCAGCCACACUGGGACUGAGACACGGCGCAGACUCCUACGGGAGGCAGCAGUGGGGAAUAUUGGAAAAUGGGCGAAAGCAUGAUGCAGCAAUGCCGGGUGAGUGAUGAAGGACUUAGGGUUGUAAAGCUCUUUUACCCGGGAUGAUAAUGACAGUACCGGGAGAAUAAGCGCCGGCUAACUACGUG
rnacentral:rRNA from 1 species